rnacentral:rRNA from 1 species
GAGGAAUUUUGCGCAAUGGGGGAAACCCUGACGCAGCAACGCCGCGUGAGUGAUGAAGGCUUUCGGGUCGUAAAGCUCUGUCAGGUGGGAAGAACCUGUCAUAUGUCAAUAUCAUAUGGCACUGACGGUACCA